rnacentral:rRNA from 1 species
CCUACGGGCGGCUGCAGUGAGGAAUAUUGGUCAAUGGGCGAGAGCCUGAACCAGCCAAGUAGCGUGAAGGAUGACUGCCCUAUGGGUUGUAAACUUCUUUUAUAAGGGAAUAAAGUGGCACGUGUGGCUUUUUGCAUGUACCUUAUGAAUAAGGAUCGGCUAACUCCGUGCCAGCAGCCGCGGUAAUACGGAGGAUCCGAGCGUUAUCCGGAUUUAUUGGGUUUAAAGGGAGCGUAGAUGGAUGUUUAAGUCAGUUGUGAAAGUUUGCGGCUCAACCGUAAAAUUGCAGUUGAUACUGGAUAUCUUGAGUGCAGUUGAGGCAGGCGGAAUUCGUGGUGUAGCGGUGAAAUGCUUAGAUAUCACGAAGAACUCCGAUUGCGAAGGCAGCCUGCUAAGCUGCAACUGACAUUGAGGCUCGAAAGUGUGGGUAUCAAACAGGAUUAGAUACCCUAGUAGUC